AACGAACGCUGGCGGCAUGCCUAACACAUGCAAGUCGAACGAGACCUUCGGGUCUAGUGGCGCACGGGUUCGUAACGCGGGGGAACCUGCCCUUAGGUUCGGAAUAACUCCCCGGGAGGGGUGCUAAUACCGGAUAAUGUCUUCGGACCAAAGAUUUAUCGCCUUUGGAUUGGCCCGCGUUGGAUUAGCUAGUUGGUAGGGUAAAAGCCUACCAAGUAGACGAUCCAGCGCUGGUCUGAGAGGAUGAUCAGCCACACUGGGACUGAGACACGGCUCCGACUCCUACGGGAGGCAGCAGUGGGGAAUAUUCGACAAUGGGCAAAAGGAUGAUGCAGCUAUGUCGCGUGAAUGAUGAAGGCCUUAGGGUAAUAAAGCUCUUUCACCCGGGAUGAUAAUGACAGUACCGGGAGAAUAAGCGCCGGCUAACUACGUG
rnacentral:rRNA from 1 species